rnacentral:rRNA from 1 species
ACCGGAUUAGAUACCCUGGUAGUCCACGCCGUAAACGAUGUCGACUUGGAGGUUGUGCCCUUGAGGCGUGGCUUCCGGAGCUAACGCGUUAAGUCGACCGCCUGGGGAGUACGGCCGCAAGGUUAAAACUCAAAUGAAUUGACGGGGGCCCGCACAAGCGGUGGAGCAUGUGGUUUAAUUCGAUGCAACGCGAAGAACCUUACCUACUCUUGACAUCCAGAGAACUUAGCAGAGAUGCUUUGGUGCCUUCGGGAACUCUGAGACAGGUGCUGCAUGGCUGUCGUCAGCUCGUGUUGUGAAAUGUUGGGUUAAGUCCCGCAACGAGCGCAACCCUUAUCCUUUGUUGCCAGCGGUUAGGCCGGGAACUCAAAGGAGACUGCCAGUGAUAAACUGGAGGAAGGUGGGGAUGACGUCAAGUCAUCAUGGCCCUUACGAGUAGGGCUACACACGUGCUACAAUGGCGCAUACAAAGAGAAGCGACCUCGCGAGAGCAAGCGGACCUCAUAAAGUGCGUCGUAGUCCGGAUUGGAGUCUGCAACUCGACUCCAUGAAGUCGGAAUCGCUAGUAAUCGUGGAUCAGAAUGCCACGGUGAAUACGUUCCCGGGCCUUGUACACACCGCCCGUCACACCAUGGGAGUGGGUUGCAAAAGAAGUAGGUAGCUUAACCUUCGGGAGGGCGCUUACCACUUUGUGAUUCAUGACUGGGGUGAAGUCGUAACAAGGUAAC